rfam:Aedes aegypti strain Liverpool supercont1.927 genomic scaffold, whole genome shotgun sequence.
AAAACGGCCCUCUUUAGGGCCACAACAAUGCAUUCGACGUAAAAAAG